ensembl:snRNA U6 U6 spliceosomal RNA
GUGCUUGCUUCAGUAGCACAUAUACUAAAAAAUUGGAAAAAUGCAGAGAAGAUUAGCAUGGCCCCUGAGCAAGGAUGACACACAAAUUCGUGAAACGUUCCAGUUUUUU